rnacentral:rRNA from 1 species
AGAAAUGUUCCAAUUGCAUAAAGGACGAUAAUAGAUUUCAUGUUAGUCUGCUUACCGCUCUCGUGCUGAGAAAUUGCGGACAUAACCAAGAAGAAGACCAGUAUCGGUGCAACGGCUUUUAAAGCCCCGACAAAAAGCGAACCUAAAAUGACAAUCGGCUUAGCAGUCUCCGGAAUCGUAAGAGCCAGAAUAAUCCCAAUGAUCAAACCGACGAGAAUUCGUUUGACCAAACUCAUCUGAUUCCACUUUUUG